CCUACGGGGUGCUGCAGUGAGGAAUAUUGGUCAAUGGCCGAGAGGCUGAACCAGCCAAGUCGCGUGAGGUAAGACGGCCCUACGGGUUGUACACCUCUUUUGUCGGGGAGCAAAGCGAACCACGUGUGGUUCAUUGAGAGUACCCGAAGAAAAAGCAUCGGCUAACUCCGUGCAAGCAGCCGCGGUAAUACGGGGGAUGCGAGCGUUAUCCGGAUUUAUUGGGUUUAAAGGGUGCGCAGGCGGAGGUGCAAGUCAGCGGUCAAAUUGCGGGGCUCAACCCCGUACUGCCGUUGAAACUGCAUCCCUUGAGUGCGCGAGAAGUAUGCGGAAGGCGUGGUGUAGCGGUGAAAUGCAUAGAUAUCACGCAGAACUCCGAUUGCGAAGGCAGCAUACCGGCGCGCAACUGACGCUCAUGCACGAAAGCGUGGGUAUCGAACAGGAUUAGAUACCCUGGUAGUC
rnacentral:rRNA from 1 species